AAAUACCGAAAGACCUCUCUCGGGGGGGCCUGGGCAAGUGAUUUCUGCGGAAAUCAUAACGUUCCCAGGGGGUCCCGGGGGAGUGAUUUUCAAACCCUUGUGAACCACAACUCUGUUGCUUCGGGGGCGACCCCGCCGUCUCGGCGGUGGUGCUCCCGGUGGCCAUCCAUCAAACUCUGCAUCACCUUGCGUCGGAGUCUUAUAAAGAAUUAAACA
rnacentral:misc_RNA from 1 species